AUGGUUAUGAUGAUGGUUAUGGUGUUGGUUAUGGUGAUGGUGAUGGUGGUGAUGGUGGUGGUGAUGGUGGUGAUGGUGGUGAUAACAGUGGUGAUGGUAAUGGUGAUGGUGGUGGUGGUAGUGAUGGUGAUGGUGGUGGUGAUGGUGGUGGUCAAGAAUGGUGAUGGUGGUGAUGGUGGUGAUAGUUACGGUGAUGGUGUGGUGGUGGUAGUGAUGGUGAUGGUGGUGGUGAUGGUGGUGGUCAAGAAUGGUGAUGGUGGUGAUGGUGGUGAUAGUUACGGUGAUGGUGUGGUGGUGGUAGUGAUGGUUAUGGUAGUGGUGAUGGUAGUGGUGAUGGUGGUGGUGGUGGUGGUGGUGAUGGUGAUGGUGAUGGUGAUGGUUGAUGGUGGUGGUGAUGGUUAUGGUGGUGGUGGGGUGGUGGUGAUGGUCGUGGUGAUGGUGGUGGUGAUGGUGAUGGUGGUGGUGAUGGUGAUGGUGGUGGUGAUGGUGAUGGUGGUGAUAGUUAUGGUGAUGGUUAUGGUGGUGGUGCUGGUGGUGAUAACAGUGGUGAUGGUAAUGGUGAUGGUGAUGGUGAUGGUGGUGAUAGUUAUGGUGAUGGUUAUGGUGAUGGUGAUGGUGGUGAUAGUUAUGGUGAUGGUGAUGGUUAUGGUGGUGGUGCUGGUGGUGAUAACAGUGGUGAUGGUAAUGGUGAUGGUGAUGGUGAUGGUGGUGAUAGUUAUGGUGAUGGUUAUGGUUAUGGUGAUGGUGGUGAUAACAGUGGUGAUGGUAAUGGUGAUGGUGAUGGUGAUGGUGGUGAUAGUUAUGGUGAUGGUUAUGGUUAUGGUGAUGGUGGUGAUAACAGUGGUGAUGGUAAUGGUGAUGGUGAUGGUGAUGGUGGUGAUAGUUAUGGUGAUGGUGGUGGUGGUGAUGGUGGUGGUGAUGGUGGUGAUAACAGUGGUGAUGGUGGUGGUGAUGCUGGUGGUCAAGAAUGGUGAUGGUGGUGGUGGCCAGGCAGUGACAAAGACAGUUCAGUAG
rnacentral:lncRNA from 1 species